AAAAUCCUUUGGAAAAUUAAAAAUUUCCCCAGUAAACCACAUCCAAAAUUUAACAAAAAAAGAGGGCUCUUGUUAUUUUUUGAUUGGUGCAAGAUUUUUGAUAGAAAAGUAGUUGUUAGUAGAUUAAAAUAAAUUUAAAAGGACGCACAUACUUUGCACGUAGGUGCAGCCCCCGUUAUAGGUGGGAAGUUGGUAAGGGAGGAUAUAGAAUGGAAUUUAAUGUAUACCUGUAAGCAACGAUAAGCCACUGCUAACGAAAAAACGAUUCUGAGCGGAGUUCAGUUAAUAGAGUUGCUUUGUCAAUAAUAUGUAUGUCGUAUUAUAGUAAAACGAUUAUAAUGUGCCUUUUAAUGACAACAAUGAUUUUUCAAAAAGAUUAAAAUAAUAAAAACUUAAUAAUAACAAAACAUAAAUAAAACCGGUUGACAAUGACAACCUUAUUUUUAAUCUUUCAAACAUUUUUAACCCUAAAGAACCAAGUUUUCUUAAUUAUCUCGAAUAUUAAUGAGAAUUUCGAAAAAUGAUCUAUUUAGAGUACUACCCAGAGAACAUUUUCUUUCAGAAAAGGUGC